GACAAUAUUGUUCCGGAAUUUUUAGCUGGCACUCAGAUUUCUGUCUGCCUCUCAUUGGCAAACAUGACAUUUCAGCAAUUUCUCUAAAGAGGAAUGACUGGGGGGUAUGUACAGCAGGCAUCAUGUAAGAAAAACUCACACCUCACGACAUAUUUGUUUGAUUUAUUCAGCAGACUUCAGCAAAGGAAAGAUGUGAAAGCAACCCUUGAUUGUUGAUUUUUUGUUCAUUCUGAAAAUCACAUCGCCAGAUCCAACACCUUUUUAUCCCAAUCACCAGUACAAGCCACCCGUAUCAGUGUACACUGUGGCUGACCGAUCCAUAGUGAUGCUUUGAGCACAAGGAAGGACUUUCUGGAAUCUACUUAUCUGACCAAGAAAGCUUCUUUCCAAAAGAAAUGCAAUUGUCUUGAGACUUCUUCCCUAGGGAUCUGAUCAACUAACCAGAAAAGAGCAACCACCAGAGAAGAGACUGUGGGUGUCAUUGUGACUGGCUGCUACCUCCCCAUGAGUCUUCUAAAAUAAAACCUGCAAAUUCACAUCUUCCCCAUGCUUCCAGAGAA
rnacentral:lncRNA from 10 species